rnacentral:rRNA from 1 species
GAUGAACGCUGGCGGCGUGCCUAACACAUGCAAGUCGAGCGAUUUACUUCGGUAAAGAGCGGCGGACGGGUGAGUAACGCGUGGGUAACCUGCCCUGUACACACGGAUAACAUACCGAAAGGUAUGCUAAUACGAGAUAAUAUGCUUUUAUCGCAUGGUAGAAGUAUCAAAGCUCCGGCGGUACAGGAUGGACCCGCGUCUGAUUAGCUAGUUGGUAAGGUAACGGCUUACCAAGGCGACGAUCAGUAGCCGACCUGAGAGGGUGAUCGGCCACAUUGGAACUGAGACACGGUCCAAACUCCUACGGGAGGCAGCAGUGGGGAAUAUUGCACAAUGGGCGAAAGCCUGAUGCAGCAACGCCGCGUGAGCGAUGAAGGCCUUCGGGUCGUAAAGCUCUGUCCUCAAGGAAGAUAAUGACGGUAC